CUCUGGAUAAAGACUUGGUGUGCCAAGAGACGAUUCACAUGGCAGUAUUGUGACUGCACAUCUCCACAGAAUGUGAAAGCAUAAAUAAGUUGCUUGCGGUAUGACACACCACAUACAUCCACCUCAGGAUCUAAUGAGGUGCUGAUUUCAAACUUGCUGAGCACUAAAGAAACAAACAGCAUAUGAAUCAAUUAGAUUGUGCAAUUUACUACCAUUCCACAGUUGAGGAGCAUCUGUUCCUGUUCAGUCAGUCAUCUUUGCUGCUGCACAACCGAGUAGUAGACUCUCCCACAGCUCACGGUUGCAUUGUAAUUUUUACAUAUGAAACCUGCUCCUCUAGUGAGCAUCUUCUCUGGUUCACCUUUGAGAAGAGCCAUUGAGAAGAGCCAAGAAAGGUUCUACCUUUAUGGCUCUGUGCUGAGAUAAGAGUAGCAAGGAGCUACCUUCUGCUCGACUUUGGCCUUUGCUCUAGUAUUUGAUCAAGAAGAGAGAAGAAAGGAGACUCCUUUGCGGUUUGGGAACCAUGUCCGGUGGGGUGGCGGUGGAGGCGGAGGAUUGCGGCUCCGGUUUUUUCUUAGGGCUGCCGGACGACGUGCUGGCGCUCAUCUCUGCCGGGCUCCGCCACGGUGACCUCUGCGCUCUUGCCCUCUGCUGCCGCGGCCUCCACGCGGCCAUAGCGGCCUCCGAGAGGGUCUGGCUCGCGCAGUGCCGUCGCCUCGGCCCGCCGCCCCACCUCCUUUCCAGGUGGCGAAUGGGCGUUCGCUCCUACCGCGCCCUCUGCCGCUUCCUCGCCGCCGUCGCACCGCUUCUUGGCAUAUGGGUGCAUCAGAACCCGGAGCUGGGCAACGUCGUCUGCGUCAUCUGGGGUUUCCUCUCCAUCGUCGGCGUCCGCGUCAUUCCCCAGGAACUCGGGCCCCUGGGCCUCGACGCCGGACCGCUUCUCUGGGCGCCGGUUUUCGAGAUCCUCGCCGAUGCCAACGGCGCGCCCUCUCGCUUCUUCCUCCACGGCCGAGACUGCGGCUUCGACUGCCUCUACCCUGGCUUCGUCCGAUCCAUCGAGUCCUCUUGCAACGUGCUCUUUCUAGAGGCCGAUGCCCGUCACAUAGUCUCCACCUUUCCCUCGAAACAGCAUUUGUUCCCCGCCCGGAGCUUCCCUGCCAUUUCUGAAUCCAAAGGUCCAAGUUUAGGAAGACAAUAUUGCCGGUCGUAUGCCACCGUAAUCUACCGUUCCUUGGCUGCUCCGCGGGCUUCUUCCCUUCCCUUCAGCCGAUUGCCAUUUAGAGAUGGCCGCCGGCUUCUAGAAUUGGUGGCGGCCAGAGUCCGCCUCAAGGUCCCCCGGGACCUGGCGUCUGCUCCUCUAUUCGAACGAUCCUCUUUUUGCGAUGAUGCCAGUCUCUUGGCAGAUCGAAGGUUGGAGCUCAUCGAAAUGCUUAAGCUUAAUGGAGGAUGGAUCAAUCGGGAUGUGGCUGAGUUGGCAUUAGGCUUGAUGGAGCACCAAAGUGCUGAAAACAUCAACGCCAUCGACGACCGGCCAUGUCCUGCUGCUCACCAAGGGAGAGCCUUUUCCUCCAUAACUGGGUACUUGAAACAAUUCAUGGGCAGGUCCAGCUUUCCCAGUGCAUCCUGUUCGAUUUCGAGAAAUGGGAGUUCUUCGGGCAGCAGCAAGAACAAGCAUGCGCAGCUCCACGAGUUCUUGAGGUCAGGCGAUCUCAUCGGACUGAGCUUACGAGCAACACACAUGAGGCUAACUACGUACAGGGCAUGGCCGAACAUGCACGACAACAGGAUCGCGCUGUAUAAACUCCCAUUACAGGGUCCAAUGGCUGGCCGAGAGUAUGCAGGCCUGUGGGGUGGCACCUUUGGCUGGCCUCCGGGACAGCCUUCCGAGGGCAAAUCAGAGAAGGCCUUGUUCUUCUUGUUGCUUUCUUACGAGGAGGUCGAAGGUCAUCUUCUGCUAAUUGGCACCAAGAUACUGGAAGGAACCCAUUAUGUCCUCCACCCCAAUGGCUCGGCAAUGUUCAUCGCGAAGAUGGAUGAGAUAGGAUCAGAGCCAUUCCCAUGGGAGACUAGUGCUGAGUCUCUUCAGGUGGAAGUAAAAAAUAGUUACUCCGGGGAGGGGAUUGUGAGUGGUUAUGGGUUCCAGUACCCAGGAUUGAAGCCUGGCUCCUUGUUCGUGCUCCAGAAUGGACUACUUGCAUUUGUGUGGAAGGAGUCGAAGUCUGUCCUGACCUUGCAGAGAGUAGACUUGCAAGAGCUUCUAAAGAAAGGAGAAAGAGUGCCCGUGUUGCCGCCAAUUGCAAACUUUGCCUAUCUUACAAAGUCUUACUCUAACGUCUUCGCAGGCUUCCCUACUAAUUCAGGUAUCAUACAAUUUACAUAUUUUUUGAGAGGCAAUGCCUCCAGCAUACAAAUUUAUCUCGUUUCCUGCACGAACAAGAGGCCAAGUAUCUACCAUCUAGCAUUAAUAGUUAUCUAGUUUUAUCCAGUUUCCUGCUUGGAUAAGGAAUACGAAUAGGCUUCUUUAGAUGUGGCAUCAGGUUUCAUUCCACAUAUCUGAUAAAUCCUCAAGAAUCAAGUGGUUGGAAGCUGCCAAGUGAGCAUCGACUAUAGGAGUUUUGUGAAGCUCGUACGAUUAGUGGGCAUAACUCUAAAACCGUCGUUGCUCUUGCUCCUGAUCGAGAAACGGAGCAGACGUACUAGUGGGUCUCUGAGGUCGAUGCUAAUUGUUCAAUGUUGCAGAUCGGAAUUUGCCUUUGUUCAAGCUGGUUACUCGAUUUAAUUGUGUUGGUCCAUCGAAGGCAAAGCACCAACUCUUGAAACAUGACAGACUGCAGACCAAAGCUUCUUCCUGUUGGCACAACCAAAGAGAAUGUCUCAGAAGCUUUUCCACAGAUUAAGCAAUCAAUCUACAGUGUCAAAGGCCAUCCUUUGUCUUCAUGAGAUUUCUCAAGUGUGAAACCUGUUUGAUGGCUACUUAGUUUGUCCUCUCUUCACUACAUCUGAUAGAAUCUACGAGGCAUAUUGAUCCGGGCAAAGUGUUUUCAGUCAACGAAGCUUUUGAUGAAUACCGAAUGAACUUAUCUUCCGUUCUACAAUAUGGAAGAACAUUGUAGAAUUAUCCCAAGAGCAUAUUUAUUCUGAGUGAGAAUUCAUGAAUAAAAUUAGUGGUCAAUUGUGUAAUCUUUA